UCCGCCCUCCGCCUGCGCCCCCCGCGCCCAGUGCUCCCGGCUCCCGCGGCCCGCGUUCCAGGUAACCCGAUCCCGGCGCACGUGACGCCGCGGAGGCCGGCCUCACCCCCGAGCUGGGCACAGGACGGGACAUCUGUCACAGAGGCUGGCGUCAGCCCCCUUUGAGGAGCAGUAUUCGGUUUUCCCUGGUCUCUGGAUGAUGGCCCUUGACCAGAGGAGGCACCAGCAGAACCUCGAGGGCAGCACUGGGCACCCAGGAGAGAAAGGAGAAGUCCCGGAGCUAACCUGCCAGCACUCAUUAUCCAGGUCACCAGUCGCCUGGGUGUCCUGAUGUCCCUGGAAGCCACACCCAGCAACACCAGAGCCUCCCAGGCAUGGAGUAACUUGGGCCAGCAGCCCCUUCCUCCCCCAGGUCUCUCCCACUCACUCUUUCUCCUUCAACACUCUUCUUUUCAUUUGCUAAUUUGCCUCUAAAAGACCUGACUCCUGCUUUUCUUCCACCCUGGAAACUGAAUUAUGGCAAUUUAACAUUAUAACAUAAUUCUACUGCAAUAAAGCAGUCUGGUGUCAUGAUGGUGAUGGAGUGGAUGGGGUGGGGUAGGGGCAGAGGAUUCACUGGAGGGGACUUUCUGCAUUUGGUUAUGAAGUGCUAGUACACAGCCUUGUUCUGGGACCUUAUUUAUUUAUGUAUUCCUUGCACCUGUUCUGCCACCGAGCUGUGUCCCCAGCUCUGAACGCUUACUUUAUUUAAAAACAUCUUAUUUAGAUAUUAAUCUAAUGUAAAUAUUAGAGAAUUGCUGCCACUUGAAACCAUACAAAUAUUCAUCUUUAUGAUGACAAAAGAAUCCAUUAAAGUUUUUUCAAGGAA